CAAUAGCGUAUAUUUAAGUUGUUGCAGUUAAAAAGCUCGUAGUUGGAUUUCGGAUGGGACUUGCCGGUCCGUCGUUUCGAUGUGCACUGGCCAGUCCUAUCUUGUUGUCGGGGACUAGCUCCUGGGCUUCACUGUCCGGGACUAGGAGCUGACGAGGUUACUUUGAGUAAAUUAGAGUGUUCAAAGCAAGCCUACGCUCUGAAUACAUUAGCAUGGAAUAACACGAUAGGACUCUGGCUUAUCUUGUUGGUCUGUGAGACCAGAAUAAUGAUUAAGAGGGACAGUCGGGGGCAUUCGUAUUUCAUUGUCAGAGGUGAAAUUCUUGGAUUUAUGAAAGACGAACUUCUGCGAAAGCAUUUGUCAAGGAUGUUUUCAUUAA
rnacentral:rRNA from 1 species